rnacentral:rRNA from 1 species
UAAAUAAAUCAAAACUUUCAACAACGGAUCUCUUGGUUCUGGCAUCGAUGAAGAACGCAGCAAAAUGCGAUAAGUAAUGUGAAUUGCAGAAUUCAGUGAAUCAUCGAAUCUUUGAACGCACAUUGCGCCUGCCAGUAUUCUGGCGGGCAUGCCUGUUCGAGCGUCAUUUCAACCCUCAAGCACAGCUUGGUGUUGGGACUCGCGUUAAUUCGCGUUCCCCAAAUUGAUUGGCGGUCACGUCGAGCUUCCAUAGCGUAGUAGUAAAACCCUCGUUACUGGUAAUCGUCGCGGCCACGCCGUUAAACCCCAACUUCUGAAUGUUGACCUCGGAUCAGGUAGGAAUACCCGCUGAACUUAAGCAUAUCAAUAAGCGGAGGAAAAGAAACCAACAGGGAUUGCCCUAGUAACGGCGAGUGAAGCGGCAACAGCUCAAAUUUGAAAUCUGGCUCUCGGGCCCGAGUUGUAAUUUGUAGAGGAUACUUUUGAUGCGGUGCCUUCCGAGUUCCCUGGAACGGGACGCCAUAGAGGGUGAGAGCCCCGUCUGGUUGGAUGCCAAAUCUCUGUAAAGUUCCUUCAACGAGUCGAGUAGUUUGGGAAUGCUGCUCUAAAUGGGAGGUAUAUGUCUUCUAAAGCUAAAUACCGGCCAGAGACCGAUAGCGCACAAGUAGAGUGAUCGAAAGAUGAAAAGCACUUUGAAAAGAGAGUUAAAAAGUACGUGAAAUUGUUGAAAGGGAAGCGUUUAUGACCAGACUUGGGCUUGGUUAAUCAUCUGGGGUUCUCCCCAGUGCACUUUUCCAGUCCAGGCCAGCAUCAGUUUUCCCCGGGGGAUAAAGGCGGCGGGAAUGUGGCUCUCUUCGGGGAGUGUUAUAGCCCACCGUGUAAUACCCUGGGGGGGACUGAGGUUCGCGCAUCUGCAAGGAUGCUGGCGUAAUGGUCAUCAACGACCCGUCUUGAAACACGGACCAAGGAGUCGUCUUCGUAUGCGAGUGUUCGGGUGUCAAACCCCUACGCGUAAUGAAAGUGAACGCAGGUGAGAGCUUCGGCGCAUCAUCGACCGAUCCUGAUGUUCUCGGAUGGAUUUGAGUAAGAGCAUACGGGGCCGGACCCGAAAGAAGGUGAACUAUGCCUGUAUAGGGUGAAGCCAGAGGAAACUCUGGUGGAGGCUCGCAGCGGUUCUGACGUGCAAAUCGAUCGUCAAAUAUGGGCAUGGGGGCGAAAGACUAAUCGAACCUUCUAGUAGCUGGUUUCCGCCGAAGUUUCCCUCAGGAUAGCAGUGUUGAACUCAGUUUUAUGAGGUAAAGCGAAUGAUUAGGGACUCGGGGGCGCUAUUUAGCCUUCAUCCAUUCUCAAACUUUAAAUAUGUAAGAAGCUCUUGUUGCUUAAUUGAACGUGAGCAUUCGAAUGUAUCAACACUAGUGGGCCAUUUUUGGUAAGCAGAACUGGCGAUGCGGGAUGAACCGAACGCGAGGUUAAGGUGCCAGAGUAGACGCUCAUCAGACACCACAAAAGGUGUUAGUACAUCUUGACAGCAGGACGGUGGCCAUGGAAGUCGGAAUCCGCUAAGGACUGUGUAACAACUCACCUGCCGAAUGUACUAGCCCUGAAAAUGGAUGGCGCUCAAGCGUCUCACCCAUACCUCGCCCUCAGGGUAGAAACGAUGCCCUGAGGAGUAGGCGGACGUGGAGGUCAGUGACGAAGCCUAGGGCGUGAGCCCGGGUUGAACGGCCUCUAGUGCAGAUCUUGGUGGUAGUAGCAAAUACUUCAAUGAGAACUUGAAGGACCGAAGUGGGGAAAGGUUCCAUGUGAACAGCGGUUGGACAUGGGUUAGUCGAUCCUAAGCCAUAGGGAAGUUCCGUUUCAAAGGUGCACUUUGCACCGUCUGGCGAAAGGGAAGCCGGUCAAUAUUCCGGCACCUGGAUGUGGGUUUUGCGCGGCAACGCAACUGAACGUGGAGACGACGGCGGGGGCCCCGGGCAGAGUUCUCUUUUCUUCUUAACAGUCUCUCACCCUGAAAUCGGUUUGUCCGGAGCUAGGGUUUAAUGG